rfam:Streptomyces sp. C genomic scaffold supercont1.3, whole genome shotgun sequence.
CUUGAGGGAGCCCAGCCACAGCGGCUGGUCCUCGGGCCGGUCCUGCCCGUACGUGGCGAGGACGGCCUGCGCCUC